UUUUAUAGUUAGAUUGAGUGAUGAUUUUCUCUCUCAGAGAUGUCAGUGGAAACAUUCCUAACUGCCCGAGGCAGUCAUAUGCCACAGCUGGCACCGUAUUUAAACUACUUCCCCACACCCCAUGAAUAUGUGGCAGAAGGGACUUCGCAGAUGUAAUUAAAGAUCUGGAGAUGGGAAGACUACCUGGAAUUAUCCAGGUGAGUCCAAUGAUGUAAGCACAAGUGUACUUACAAGGGGAAAACAGAGGGAGAGGAGACCACAGAAGAGGAGAAGGUGAUGUGAUGAUAAGAGCAAAGACAGACUGGAGAUGCUGCACUGCUGGCUUUGAAGAUGAAGAAGGUCCCAUGAACUAAGAAAAGCAAGGAGUGCAGCUCUAGAAGCUGGAAAGGGCCAGUAAUUACAGGUGGAGUAAAGAAUACAUACAGGUAUUCAAAGAUUUAAGAUGACAUGAGAUCUUUGGCGUUAGAGUUAUAAAAGUUGAUUUAUUCCAGAAGAUCCAGAAAAGUGGUUCAAUGAAGCCUUCUCUGUAUGUUGAGACUAUUUGCUUCAACGCAUGUCUCCAGGAUUUUCUUAAAAAAAUCAGCAUUGAAAUGAAAAAUUCCAACUACGGAAAAAACAAAACUCAAAGUUAAGGCCAACGAUCAAAAAUAAAAUAAAAUAAAAUUAUCCCUUUGAUCCUAAAGCUAAAUCUAAAGUAAUCUGCAGCAAAAGGCCUUUUUAGUUUAAGGAU